rnacentral:hammerhead_ribozyme from 1 species
AUCAAGCUGACGAGUCCCAAAUAGGACGAAAUGCGCAUCCUGGAU